AUUGAACGCUAGCGGGAUGCCUUACACAUGCAAGUCGAACGGAGUGGCGAACGGGUGAGUAAGGUAUCGGAACGUGCCCAGUAGCGGGGGAUAACUACGCGAAAGCGUAGCUAAUACCGCAUACUAUUGGCGCGGCCGCUAUCGGAUUAGCGAGUUGGUGGGGUAACGGCUAACCAAGGCGACGAUCCGUAGCUGGUUUGAGAGGACGACCAGCCACACUGGGACGGGGACACGGCCCAGACUCCUACGGGAGGCAGCAGUGGGGAAUUUUGGACAAUGGGGGAAACCCUGAUCCAGCCAUCCCGCGUGUGCGAUGAAGGCCUUCGGUUUGUAAAGCACUUUUGGCAGGAAAGCGGUACCUGCAGAAUAAGCACCGGCUAACUACGUGCCAGCCGCCGCGGUAAUAC
rnacentral:rRNA from 1 species